GUUUCCUUGGAAUGUACAGAAAAACGUGGGAUUCGAGGGAAGCAAGAGUUUUGUACAUUUGAGUUAUUAACAGCUUAUUUGACUAAUCAAAAUGGAGGCUAGCAAAUUAAUCUAAUUUAUUUGCAGAGACUAAACUGCAUUAAUAAUAGAAAUACUGUCAAAACAUUGUGGGCAGCUAUUUAGUUUGUUUUUCAAUAGUUAUAAGCUUCUUUAUAAGAGAUUGCUAAGUGGGAUUGCUUAAAUGUAAGAACUGCUAAGACUUCAGCAACACAGAGCAAUGUGCAUACUGGGUGUUCUGAGCUGAUUUUUUCCACUUUAAAAUGCCUAUGUUGAUGCUCUAAUACCCAGCACCUCAGAAUGUGACUGUAUUUGGAGAUAGGGAUUUUAAGGAGUUAAGUUAAAAUGAAGCCAUUAGGAUAGGCCCUAAUCCAAAUUGAUGAGUGUCUUUUUAAGAAGAGGAGAUGAAGUCACAAGAAGAGACACCAGGGAAGCACACAAACAGAAGAAAUACCAUGUGAGGACACAGUUAAAAAAAAGGGCAGCCAUCUGCAAGCCAAGGAGAGAGGCCACAGAAGAAACAAAACCUGCAGACACCUUGACUUUG
rnacentral:lncRNA from 1 species